AAGGAAAAUUGUAGAGAUAAGUUGAGCAGUGAAAGCUUAUUAUUCCUAGCACUAGCACUCCCCAACAUCUGUGGUUGCCAAAGAUUCAAUUUGAAGUUCCAUCGUUUGCUCUUUAUUUACCAGAGAGGAGUUGAGUACCAGUCAACAACACUGGGUUUGCUAAAGCUUCAAAUAAGAUCUUACUUGCUUAGUCUUUCCUAACCAGGUGACUAGGAUAACGUUUUAAGGAGAAGAUUCUUACGAGGUACAUGGUGGUAAAAGGCUAUGAAUUGGAGAACAAGAAGUAAGUAGGUAUACCAUGGACACACCAGAGUAAGCUCAACAUUGAUAUCGAGGAAG